rnacentral:tRNA from 1 species
GUCUAUGUAGUAUAUCACAUUACCCUGGUCUUGUAAACCAGAAAAGGGGAAUAACACUCCCCCACAGACUC